rfam:Nicotiana attenuata strain TT chromosome 5, whole genome shotgun sequence.
UGGCGUGAAACAUGGUAUUCGACUGUAUUCACGGCGUGAAACAGGGGAUUACACUGUUUUUAAACGGAAAGUGAAUCAAUUAACAUAAUAGACUCCU